AACGCACGAGACCUGCGGACCUGCGGAAGGAUCAUUACCGAGUGAGGGCCCCUCUGGGUCCAACCUCCCACCCGUGUUUAUCGUACCGUGUUGCUUCGGCGGGCCCGCCGUUCAGGCCGCCGGGGGGCGUUUCGCCCCCGGGCCCGCGCCCGCCGAAGACCCCACCGAACGCUGUCUGAAGUAUGCAGUCUGAGCACCAAUACAAAUCAGUUAAAACUUUCAACAAUGGAUCUCUAGAUC
rnacentral:misc_RNA from 1 species